rnacentral:rRNA from 1 species
GAUGAACGCUGGCCGAAUGCUUAACACAUCAGCCAUUGAUUGUUGGCGGACGGGUGAGUAACGCGUAAAGAACUUGCCUCACAGGUAGGGACAAGAUUUGGAAACGAAUGCUAAUAACUAAUAAUGUGCGAGAGCUUUUCGUCCCAUUAGCUAGUUGGAGAGGUCACGGCUCACAAAGGCGAUGAUGGGUAGCCGGCCUGAGCGGGUGAUAAGCCACAAGGGGACGGAGACACGGCCCUUACUCCUACGGGAGGCAACAGUGGGGAACAAUGGACACUGGACCAAAGUCUGAUCCAGCAAUUCUGUGUGCAAGAUGAAGUUUUCGGAAUGUAAAGUGCUUUCAGUUGGGAAGCGGUACCAACAGAAGAAGUGACGGCUAAAUACGUGCCAGCAGCCGCGGUAAUAC